rnacentral:rRNA from 1 species
GGAAUCUUCCACAAUGGACGAAAGUCUGAUGGAGCAACGCCGCGUGAGUGAAGAAGGUUUUAGGAUCGUAAAGCUCUGUUGUUAGAGAAGAACGUGUGUGAGAGUAACUGCUUAGGUAGUGACGGUAUUUAACCAGAAAGCCACGGCUAACUACGUGCCAGCAGCCGCGGUAAUACGUAGGUGGCAAGCGUUAUCCGGAUUUAUUGGGCGUAAAGCGAGCGCAGGCGGUUUUUUAAGUCUGAUGUGAAAGCCUUCGGCUUAACCGAAGAAGUGCAUCGGAAACUGGGAAACUUGAGUGCAGAGGAGGACAGUGGAACUCCAUGUGUAGCGGUGAAAUGCGUAGAUAUAUGGAAGAACACCAGUGGCGAAGGCGGCUGUCUGGUCUGUAACUGACGCUGAGGCUCGAAAGCAUGGGUAGCGAACA